GCCAAAUAUUUCUUUCGGGAUUGAAAUGCCCAGGAAACGUACUCCCAAAUGAUCGCUGUUGAGAAUAGGAUGGGCUGAGGGGGAAAGGAAGGCAUUGUAGGUGGAGAGCAAAUUACCCGGGCAAUUCAUCGCCAAUUUCAAGGAUGUGCUGCAGGGAUAAUAUAUUCUGAGUGCCUGGCCUGCCUGCGGAUGUACGCCGAGAGCCAAAAGGAACGGCUACCCAAAACCCUCCUCUACAAAUGUCAACGUCUAAUCCUCCUCCAGAUAUUGCCAGCAUGCCGAAUAUUCUUCACAAGGUUGGCACUUCCUAGGCGACAUCCAUUUCAGCUAGAAGCCAGGGUGAUGGAGGCACGGUGGUGUCGUGGUGACAGUGUCAGAGUGGGACCUGGGAGAGACCAGGGUUCAGAGCCCUACUCAGCCAUGAAGCUUUCACAGGGUGACUGUGGGCAAGUUGCUACGUCUCAGCCGAACCUUCCUUUCAGAGUUGUUGUGGGGAUGAAACGAGGAGAGGGAGAACCAUGUACAUCUAUAACCACCUUUGCUCUCUGGUGGCCUCCAACUUCUCCCAUAGCAUGCAGGUUGCCCCAGUGAGGAGAAGAAGAAGAAGAAGAA